rfam:Gymnopus luxurians FD-317 M1 unplaced genomic scaffold GYMLTscaffold_17, whole genome shotgun sequence.
GCAUUAAUGGGGUAGUGGUAACCUGGGUCGUUGCCAAGUUUUAACAGACGGGUAGUCGACCCGCCGGGGGUUCGAUUCCCCCUUAAUGCA